rnacentral:rRNA from 1 species
CGAUUCCUACGGGGGGCAGCAGUAGGGAAUAUUGCUCAAUGGGGGAAACCCUGAAGCAGCAACGCCGCGUGGAGGAUGAAGGUUUUAGGAUUGUAAACUCCGUUUGUGAGAGAAGAUAAUGACGGUAUCUCACGAAUAAGCACCGGCUAACUCCGUGCCAGCAGCCGCGGUAAUACGGAGGGUGCAAGCGUUACUCGGAAUCACUGGGCGUAAAGAGUGCGCAGGCGGGCUUGUAAGUCAGCUGUGAAAUCCUGUAGCUUAACUAAAGAACUGCAUUUGAAACUAUGGGUCUAGAAUGUGGGAGG